rnacentral:lncRNA from 1 species
CUGAACCACUUUUCUUCCCAGGUUGCUCUCCCUGAGGCCAUCUCUGCGUGCUCCCACCUACUGUUAGCUCCCAGGAUCCGCGUCAGUGCCAAGCCCCAGAUUCUCCGUUCCUUGCUCAAAGAGGUGUGUCAGAAACAGGCAAAGAUACUCAAAUGCUGACAAGACUUACGGAUGCUUUCAUACUACUAUAUGACCGGGACAAUCUUGGUAAAAUAAACACUAUGCUGGUGGUAUAAAUAAACAUAUAUAUUAAACAUGUGUCAGAAGGCUCACAGAGGUGAAGUGGCCAACCUGAAACUCAGUUUAUAAAUGUUACAAAAUGGGUGAAAGCGAUUUUGUAAAGGACUUUAAGAGGCAUCCUUCUUUUUCAAGAGGAAAAGGAGUUAAGCCCAGGUGGAUGGAUAACCCGGACCUACAUCCCUGUUACACAGGAGUCUGCUUCACAGGAAACUCGAUCACCACUGUCUCCAAGAGCAGGUGUCUUUUGCCCGGGCCCCUGAGCACGAGGGUCUCUGGCUUACAUCUCUACUGUUGCUGCUUCUGA